rnacentral:rRNA from 1 species
GACGAACGCUGGCGGCGUGCUUAACACAUGCAAGUCGAACGAAAAGAGGGAAAGAGCUUGCUCUUUCCGGAAUUGAGUGGCAAACGGGUGAGUAACACGUAAACAACCUGCCUUCAGGAUGGGGACAACAGACGGAAACGACUGCUAAUACCGAAUAAGUUCCAAGGGCCGCCUGGCCCAUGGAAGAAAAGGUGGCCUCUACCUGUAAGCUAUCGCCUGAAGAGGGGUUUGCGUCUGAUUAGCUGGUUGGAGGGGUAACGGCCCACCAAGGCGACGAUCAGUAGCCGGUCUGAGAGGAUGAACGGCCACACUGGAAUUGAGACACGGUCCAGACUCCUACGGGAGGCAGCAGUGGGGAAUCUUCCGCAAUGGGCGAAAGCCUGACGGAGCAACGCCGCGUGAGUGAUGACGGCCUUCGGGUUGUAAAACUCUGUGAUCCGGGACGAAAAGGCAGAGUGCGAAGAACAAACUGCAUUGACGGUACCGGAAAAGCAAGCCACGGCUAACUACGUG